UACAGAGGGGGCAAGCGUUGUUCGGAAUUACUGGGCGUAAAGGGCGCGUAGGUGGCCUUCUAAGUUGAACGUGAAAUCCCUGGGCUCAACCCAGGAACUGCGUCCAAGACUGGGAGGCUUGAAUCCGGGAGAGGGAUGCGGAAUUCCAGGUGUAGCGGUGAAAUUCGUAGAUAUUCGGAGGAACACCAGUGGCGAAGGCGGCUCACUGGCUCGAUACUGACGCUGAGGUGCGAAAGCGUGGGGAGCAAACAGG
rnacentral:rRNA from 1 species